AGCGAGAUGCCCUCAAGCUGGAGCUGUACAAGAACAGCAAAAGUAAUGAGGACCUGAGGCAGCAGAACUCAGAACUGGAAGAGAAACUUCGAGUCCUGGUGGCAGAGAAAGCGGCUGCACAGUUGGGGGGUGGAGGAGCUGCAGAAGAAGUUAGAGAUGUCAGAGCUGCUGCUGCAACAGUUCUCUAGCCAAUCUGAGGCCCCAGGCGGUAAUGAGCAGUUACAACACGCCAUGGCGGAGCGGGCUCAGCUGGAGACCCAUGUUGGCCAGCUGAUGGAGUCACUGAAGCAGCUCCAGAUGGAGAGAGA